GUGCUGUCAAAACUUCACUUCAAACUCAUCAAGAUAAGCAAUACCUAAAUCAAAUUUUUGAUCUCAAUCAAAGCUUCCUUUCUCUUGUCCUCUAAUUCUAUUAUUUCAAGGAUGAUCAAGAACCUAAAUCAACCUCCUAUUUCAACCGUUAUAUGCCUGAAACAACCAAUGAACCGCCCAAUAUUCCAUGGCCCAAAACCCAUCUCACUCACAUAAUGUCUCUUCUCUACCAUGGACGUUGCUGCUGGAUGCUCCAGAAUCAGCAUCAUGCAGUUACAUUUUACCCAUAGUUUCUUCAUAAACGUUGUAGCCCUUAAAAAGUUAAUCAGUUUAGCCUCAAGAAUGACUCAAUUCGGAUAUGUGUGCUAGGAGAUAUGCCUUAUGUACUAUAGUCGUGUUGUGAUUCAAUGAACUACCACUAUAACUAUUGUUGUUGUCAUUUUGUGAGUUACUCCAACUCUUUUUCUCCUCAUUUCACUUGCUCCACUUUGUUUUGAAAGGGAAACUAAUUUUUGGUAUCAUUGAUUUAUGUGUAAUUAUAAGUUUUUCCCUUCACCUAUUAUUUAAAUAAACAAAUAUCAUAUUAUAUAUUUUGGCUAGAUUAAUUUAUUAAUUUUAUAUCAAUUAUGGUUUGUAAAAGAAUUUCUUGGAAAGAGAAUUUAGUUAAGAUUUCUAGUUUGAUUGGUUGAGUUUUUUUAUUUUAUUUUUUUUGACAUCGUAUAUUGGUUGAGUUAUUAAUUCUAGCUUAUUGUCAUCUGAAUGAGGUCAUUUAUUGGAGAAUUAUUCACGAGGUUCAAGUUAGAGAAUGGUGAUCAAGGAUUAUGGAUGAAAUAGAUAUGAUUGUUAUUUUUGAGUUAAUAAGGAAAUGAUCAGCAUUUAAGGUUGUGUGUAAGCUCAAGUGGGAUUCAAAUGGAGCUUGAUUGAAUUUAAUGGAUUGUAAAUUGUGUUAUAUAAACUAUGGUUUAUUUAUUUGAGAGAUUAGUUUAUAUAUUGUUGUAAGAUGUUUGUGAGUUAAUGAAUUAUACCUAUUCAUGUUUA